rnacentral:tRNA from 1 species
GCCCGCCUAGCUCAAUCGGAUAGAGCGUCAGACUUUUACGGCGGGGGAUCUGAAGGCUGCGAGUUCGACCCUCGCGGUGGGCU